AGAUUGAACGCUGGCGGAAUGCUUUACACAUGCAAGUCGAACGGCAGCACGGGGGCAACCCUGGUGGCGAGUGGCGAACGGGUGAGUAAUGUAUCGGAACGUGCCCAGUCGUGGGGGAUAACUAUCCGAAAGGAUAGCUAAUACCGCAUACGUCCUGAGGGAGAAAGCGGGGGACCUGCAAAGGCCUCGCGCGAUUGGAGCGGCCGAUAUCGGAUUAGCUAGUUGGUGGGGUAAAGGCUCACCAAGGCGACGAUCCGUAGCGGGUCUGAGAGGACGACCCGCCACACUGGAACUGAGACACGGUCCAGACUCCUGCGGGAGGCAGCAGUGGGGAAUUUUGGACAAGUGGGGGCAACCCGUGAUCCAGCCAUUCCGCGUGAGUGAAGAAGG
rnacentral:rRNA from 1 species